rnacentral:rRNA from 1 species
GAUGAACGCUGGCGGCGUGCCUAAUACAUGCAAGUCGAGCGAACGGACGAGAAGCUUGCUUUUCUGAUGUUAGCGGCGGACGGGUGAGUAAUACGUGGAUAACCUACCUAUAAGACUGGGAUAACUUCGGGAAACCGGAGCUAAUACCGGAUAAUAUUUUGAACCGCAUGGUUCAAAAGUGAAAGACGGUCUUGCUGUCACUUAUAGAUGGAUCCGCGCUGCAUUAGCUAGUUGGUAAGGUAACGGCUUACCAAGGCAACGAUGCAUAGCCGACCUGAGAGGAUGAUCGGCCACACUGGAACUGAGACACGGUCCAGACUCUUACGGGAGGCAGCAGUAGGGAAUCUUCCACAAUGGGCGAAAGCCUGACGGAGCAACGCCGCGUGAGUGAUGAAGGUCUUCGGAUCGUAAAACUCUUUUAUUAGGGAAGAACAGAUGUGUAAGUAACUGUGCACAUCUUGACGGUACCUAAUCAGAAAGCCACGGCUAACUACGUG